rnacentral:rRNA from 1 species
ACGGGUAGCCGGCCUGAGAGGGCGACCGGCCACACUGGGACUGAGACACGGCCCAGACUCCUACGGGAGGCAGCAGUGGGGAAUAUUGCACAAUGGGCGAAAGCCUGAUGCAGCGACGCCGCGUGAGGGAUGACGGCCUUCGGGUUGUAAACCUCUUUCAGCAGGGAAGAAGCGAAAGUGACGGUACCUGCAGAAGAAGCACCGGCUAACUACGUGCCAGCAGCCGCGGUAAUACGUAGGGUGCGAGCGUUGUCCGGAAUUAUUGGGCGUAAAGAGCUUGUAGGCGGUUUGUCGCGUCUGCUGUGAAAAUCCGGGGCUCAACCCCGGACUUGCAGUGGGUACGGGCAGACUAGAGUGUGGUAGGGGAGACUGGAAUUCCUGGUGUAGCGGUGAAAUGCGCAGAUAUCAGGAGGAACACCGAUGGCGAAGGCAGGUCUCUGGGCCACUACUGACGCUGAGAAGCGAAAGCAUGGGGAGCGA